rnacentral:rRNA from 1 species
UACGUAGGGGGCUAGCGUUGUCCGGAUUUAUUGGGCGUAAAGAGCGUGUAGGCGGCCAGAUAGGUCUGCUGUGAAAACUCGAGGCUCAACUUCGAGCUGUCGGUGGAAACUUUCUGGCUAGAGUCCGGAAGAGGAGAAUGGAAUUCCUGGUGUAGCGGUGAAAUGCGCAGAUAUCAGGAAGAACACCCGUGGCGAAGGCGGUUCUCUGGGACGGUACUGACGCUGAGACGCGAAAGCGUGGGGAGCGAACAGG